rnacentral:rRNA from 1 species
GUCCACGCCGUAAACGAUGGAUGCUAGCCGUCGGGGAGCUUGCUCUUCGGUGGCGCAGCUAACGCAAUAAGCAUCCCGCCUGGGGAGUACGGUCGCAAGACUAAAACUCAAAGGAAUUGACGGGGGCCCCGCACAAGCGGUGGAGCAUGUGGUUCAAUUCGACGCAACGCGAAGAACCUUACCAGGCCUUGACAUCCCGGUCGCGGCCCCUUGAAAGAGGGGCCUUCAGUUCGGCUGGACCGGUGACAGGUGCUGCAUGGCUGUCGU